rnacentral:tRNA from 1 species
GGACGCGUCCCCCGGGGCCGGGCCGGACCUCCGCCCCGGCCCCGGAAGCCGGGUGCCCCGGGGCCGGGGCAGACGGG